GACGAACGCUGGCGGCGUGCUUAACACAUGCAAGUCGAGCGGUAAGGCCCUUUCGGGGGUACACGAGCGGCGAACGGGUGAGUAACACGUGGGUGACCUGCCCUUAGCUCUGGGAUAAGCCUGGGAAACUGGGUCUAAUACCGGAUAUGACUCCAUGACGCAUGUUGUGGGGUGGAAAGCCUUGUGCGGCUAGGGAUGGGCCCGCGGCCUAUCAGCUUGUUGGUGGGGUGAUGGCCUACCAAGGCGACGACGGGUAGCCGGCCUGAGAGGGCGACCGGCCACACUGGGACUGAGACACGGCCCAGACUCCUACGGGAGGCAGCAGUGGGGAAUCUUGCGCAAUGGGCGGAAGCCUGACGCAGCGACGCCGCGUGCGGGAGGACGGCCUCGGUCGUAACG
rnacentral:rRNA from 1 species